CCGAAACCUAAGAAAACCAUUAUAAACCUCUCUUUUCGCAAGCGCCUCUCCUUUUCUCUCUCUCAGUCGCUCGCUCUCUUCAUCCAUCAGCAAAAGGGCCUGCUUUUCUCUCUCUCAGUCGCUCUCUCUCUCCAUCCAUCAGCAAAAGGGUCUGCCUCCAAACCUCGCUCGGUCUCUUCAUCCAUCGGCAAAAGGGUCUGCCUCCAAACCAAACAAAGUAGGUGAUCCUCUAGAGAAGGCUGCACUUAAGGGAAUUGAUUGGAGUUAUAAGUCAGAUGAAAA